rnacentral:rRNA from 1 species
GACACAGGGAGGUAGUGACAAGAAAUAACAAUACGGGGCUUAAUGUCUUGUAAUUGGAAUGAUGGGAAUUUAAACCUCUUCCAGAGUAUCAAUUGGAGGGCAAGUCUGGUGCCAGCAGCCGCGGUAAUUCCAGCUCCAAUAGCGUAUAUUAAAAUUGUUGCAGUUAAAAAGCUCGUAGUUGAAUUUCUGCUGCAUUGCAUCUUCUUUUUGAUGAGUUGGUGUAUUGUGGCUUAUUUCGGAUGAUACUUGUAUUAUCCGGAUGAUUACUUUGAGAAAAUUAGAGUGCUCAAAGCAGGCUUUUGCCUUGAAUAGUUUAGCAUGGAAUAAUAAAGUAGGACUUUGGUUCUAUUUUGUUGGUUUUAGGUACCAAAGUAAUGGUUAAUAGGAACAGUUGGGGGCAUUCGUAUUUAACUGUCAGAGGUGAAAUUCUUAGAUUUGUUAAAGACGAACUACUGCGAAAGCAUUUGCCAAGGAUGUUUUCAUUAAUCAAGAACGAAAGUUAGGGGAUCGAAGA